AGCUAAGUUGGUAGAGUGUUUGCCUUGCAUACAAAAGGCCCUGGGUUUGAUCCCCAG
rnacentral:tRNA from 1 species